AGAUGUAAGGGCGAUCUGUCUGUGACAUCUGUCAGGGUUGAAUUGGCUGAUUUGGCUGGCUAGGCGAGUGUCCCCUUCCUCCUUCCUGGCUCCAUGUGUGUCCCACCCAAAGCUGUGCACUCAGUUGAAGAGAAUGACCUUUCCUGAUAGAGAAGGACUGUUCUUUAGUGAAGGACAUACAAGUACCAGGGCUUCCCUGCUAGAACCUCCAGAUAAGUUCUCAAGGCCCAUUUGCAAGAGGACAUAGGGUAGACAAGCUUCUAAGACUCCAGACACAAUCAAGUGAGGCUCUGCAUGUGGCAGUCAGCCUUUAAAAU
rnacentral:snRNA from 1 species